GCCGUCCUCUCCCUCCACGUCUCCGGCCGCACCGCCGGCGCCGGCGGCGAGGGUGCGGUGCCCCACCCCUCCGGCCCUCGCGGCGCUACCAGAAAUAUUCCCGUUCCUCCUACUUGGACGUCGCGGCUAUGGCGGCUGACAUGGAGGAUCCUCCACGUCGCCGGCGACCUGAUCAACCCUACAUUGCCGCCGCCCGCCGCCGCCGCCCUCUUUAAGCGGCUUCUCCUUUGGUCACCACCCGUCAGAUCCCCUCCUCCUCCGGCCGGAGAGAGAGAGAGAGAGCAAGUAGCUGCCCGGCCGUGCCUUGCAGGAGAGAAACCCGUGGCUUUCCUUGAGAGACUUUCAGAACCCACUGCAGGAGCCGCGGACUGAAAUUUCAUGGCUCAUUUUGACACCAGGGUCAAACAAAGUCAGCGCCCUGGAACCUGGAUACUUCAAGCAAAGACAAGCCGUGUUCAUUCCCAGGAAGUCAAUUUAAGGCUCGUUGACCUCAUCAUCAUCUGUCACGCAAGAGAAGAUGCCA